rnacentral:tRNA from 2 species
GGAACUGAUCCUACAUACUCAAUGAGUUUAGCGUCGUUCGCAAUGACGAGGUCGGGAGUUCGAUCCUCCCUGGCUCCACCA